rnacentral:rRNA from 1 species
UACGUAGGGGGCAAGCGUUGUCCGGAAUCAUUGGGCGUAAAGCGCGUGUAGGCGGCUCAGUAAGUCCGCUCUGAAAGCCCGGGGCUUAACCCCGGGAGGCGGGUGGAUACUGCUGAGCUUGAGUCCGGAAGAGGCGAGUGGAAUUCCCGGUGUAGCGGUGAAAUGCGCAGAUAUCGGGAGGAACACCAAUGGCGAAGGCAGCUCGCUGGGACGUGACUGACGCUGAGACGCGAAAGCGUGGGGAGCAAACGGG